UGUCCCUACCUGUGGGGUGUGCAAUGGCUGCACGGCAUGGCCACCCUACAAAUCAAAUCGGUUGAUGAUGGCAAUUAGAGAGCGUGAAGAGCCCUCGACUGACUGGGCCACAUUCUCCUGUCAGGUGAUGGCAUCAUGUUUGACAUAUGAAAAUGCAAAGUACAAAAAAAAAAAAAAUUCGGAAGCGACGUCCGACCUAACAUUGAAUAAUGAAGAGCGGGAGAAGAGAAAAAGGAAGAGACUGCAGCAUACUCUUUCUUCAUUUGAGGAUGAGGACUUCUAUGACCAAGAUGAACGACGUAACACUCAGCCAGCCCCUCAACUUCCAGAACGUGCA